UACGGAGGGUGCAAGCGCUAUCCGGAUUCACUGGGUUUAAAGGGUGCGUAGGUGGGCAGGUAAGUCAGUGGUGAAAUCCCCGAGCUUAACUUGGGAACUGCCGUUGAUACUAUCUGUCUUGAAUACUGCGGAGGUAAGCGGAAUAUGUCAUGUAGCGGUGAAAUGCUUAGAGAUGACAUAGAACACCAAUUGCGAAGGCAGCUUGCUACACAGUAAUUGACGCUGAGGAACGAAAGCGUGGGGAGCAAACAGG
rnacentral:rRNA from 1 species